UAGAGUUUGAUCCUGGCUCAGGACUAACGUUGGCGGCGUGCCUAAUACAUGCAAGUCGAGCGGAUCAGGGGGCAACUCCUGGUUAGCGGCGAACGGGUGAGUAACACGUGGAUGAUCUACCUUUGAGUUAGGGACAACCAGCCGAAAGGUUGGCUAAUACCCAAUAUGACCACGACCAGUAUCAUCUGGUUGCGGUAAAAGCCGGGGAUCGCAAGACCUGGCGCUUGAAAAUGAGUCCGCGUCUGAUUAGCUAGUUGGCGGGGUAACGGCCCACCAAGGCGACGAUCAGUAGCCGGCCUGAGAGGGUGAACGGCCACACUGGGACUGAGACACGGCCCAGACUCCUACGGGAGGCAGCAGUAGGGAAUUUUCCACAAUGGGCGCAAGCCUGAUGGAGCAACGCCGCGUGAGGGAUGAAGGUCUUCGGAUUGUAAACCUCUUUGGAGUGGGAAGAACGAUUUCCGUGUUAACAGCGCGGGGAAGUGACGGUACCACUAGAACAAGACACGGCCAACUCUGUGCCAGCAGCCGCGGUAAUACAGAGGUCCCGAGCGUUGUUCGGAUUCACUGGGCGUAAAGGGUGCGUAGGCGGUGAUGUAAGUUUGAUGUGAAAGCUCGCAGCUCAACUGCGAAAUGGCAUUGAAUACUACAUUGCUAGAGGCUUGGAGGGGGGACUGGAAUUCUCGGUGUAGCAGUGAAAUGCGUAGAUAUCGAGAGGAACACCAGUGGCGAAGGCGAGUCCCUGGACAAGUCCUGACGCUGAGGCACGAAAGCUAGGGGAGCAAACAGGAUCAGAUACCCUGGUAGUCCUAGCCGUAAACGGUGCUUGCUUGCUGUAAAAGGAAUCGACCCCUUUUGUGGCGAAGCUAACGCGAUAAGCAAGCCGCCUGGGAAGUACGGUCGCAAGAUUAAAACUCAAAGAAAUUGACGGGGGCCUGCACAAGCGGUGGAGUAUGUGGCUUAAUUCGAUGCAACGCGAAGAACCUUACCUGGCCUUGACAUGCAAGUAGUAGGAGCGUGAAAGCGUGACGAUCCCGCAAGGGAAGCUUGCACAGGUGCUGCAUGGCUGUCGUCAGCUCGUGUCGUGAGAUGUUGGGUUAAGUCCCGCAACGAGCGCAACCCCUGUGUCCUGUUGCCACCCGGCCGAGAGGCUGGAGCACUCUGGACAGACUGCCUCGCUUCAACGAGGAGGAAGGUGGGGAUGACGUCAAGUCAGGAUGGCCCUUACGGCCAGGGCUGCACACGUACUACAAUGCCCGGUACAAAGGGAAGCGAGACCGUCAGGUGGAGCAAACCCCAAAAAACCGGGCCCAGUUCAGAUUGUCGUCUGCAACUCGACGACAUGAAGCCGGAAUCGCUAGUAAUGGCGCAUCAGCUACGGCGCCGUGAGUACGUUCCCAGGCCUUGUACACACCGCCCGUCACAUCAUGAAAGCCGGUCGUACCCGAAGUCGCUGUGUCAACCGCAAGGAAACAGGUGCCGAAGGUAUGGCUGGUGAUUGGGAUGAAGUCGUAACAAGGUAACCGUAA
rnacentral:rRNA from 1 species